rnacentral:rRNA from 1 species
UACGUAGGGUCCAAGCGUUAUCCGGAAUCACUGGGCGUAAAGCGUACGUAGGCGGCGUGUUAAGUGAGAUGCGAAAUCUAACGGCUCAACCGUUUAGACUGUAUUUCAUACUGGCAUGCUUGAGGACAUGAGAGGCAAGUGGAAUUUGUAGUGUAGCAGUGAAAUGCGUAGAUAUUACAAGGAACACCAAUGGCGAAGGCAGCUUGCUGGCAUGUAUCUGACGCUGAGGUACGAAAGCGUGGGGAGCGAACAGG